UACAUAGGGGGCAAGCGUUAUCCGGAUUUACUGGGUGUAAAGGGGGCGCAGACGGCGAUGCAAGCCAGGAGUGAAAGCCCGGGGCCCAACCCCGGGACUGCUCUUGGAACUGCGUGGCUGGAGUGCAGGAGGGGCAGGCGGAAUUCCUGGUGUAGCGGUGAAAUGCGUAGAUAUCAGGAGGAACACCGGUGGCGAAGGCGGCCUGCUGGACUGCAACUGACGUUGAGGCCCGAAAGCGUGGGGAGCAAACAGG
rnacentral:rRNA from 1 species